rnacentral:misc_RNA from 1 species
GAAUGAAUUAGAUUAGUUGUAAUUGCAGAAUAAAAAAGUAUCAACCUACAAAUUGAAUAGAAGAAUGAAUUUAUGCAGUAGAGAUGGUCUGAAAGCUUUUGUUGAGUUUGUUUUGUUCUCUUUUAAGUGAGAAAAAUUGAAAACCUAGUGUAAAGAUAAAGUUAACAAAUAAAGCAAAUGUUUAUCAGUACUACAGAGAUCAAAAUGUAAACCAAAAAGGAUCUCCACUAAAGAAAAC